CCUACGGGUGGCAGCAGUGGGGAAUAUUGGACAAUGGGGGCAACCCUGAUCCAGCCAUGCCGCGUGCGUGAAGAAGGCCCUCGGGUUGUAAAGCACUUUCAGUGAGGAAGAACGCCUGGUGGUUAAUACCCAUCAGGAAAGACAUCACUCACAGAAGAAGCACCGGCUAACUCCGUGCCAGCAGCCGCGGUAAUACGGAGGGUGCGAGCGUUAAUCGGAAUUACUGGGCGUAAAGCGCGCGUAGGUGGCUUGAUAAGCCGGUUGUGAAAGCCCCGGGCUCAACCUGGGAACGGCAUCCGGAACUGUCAAGCUAGAGUGCAGGAGAGGAAGGUAGAAUUCCCGGUGUAGCGGUGAAAUGCGUAGAGAUCGGGAGGAAUACCAGUGGCGAAGGCGGCCUUCUGGACUGACACUGACACUGAGGUGCGAAAGCGUGGGUAGCAAACAGGAUUAGAUACCCGGGUAGUC
rnacentral:rRNA from 1 species